rnacentral:rRNA from 1 species
AUUGAACGCUGGCGGCAUGCUUUACACAUGCAAGUCGAACGGUAACAGGUUAAGCUGACGAGUGGCGAACGGGUGAGUAAUGCAUCGGAACGUGCCCGGUCGUGGGGGAUAACGCAGCGAAAGUUGCGCUAAUACCGCAUACGAUCUGAGGAUGAAAGCGGGGGACCGUAAGGCCUCGCGCGAUCGGAGCGGCCGAUGUCAGAUUAGGUAGUUGGUGGGGUAAAGGCUCACCAAGCCAACGAUCUGUAGCUGGUCUGAGAGGACGACCAGCCACACUGGGACUGAGACACGGCCCAGACUCCUACGGGAGGCAGCAGUGGGGAAUUUUGGACAAUGGGCGAAAGCCUGAUCCAGCAAUGCCGCGUGCAGGAAGAAGGCCUUCGGGUUGUAAACUGCUUUUGUACGGAGCGAAAAGGUCUCCUCUAAUACAGGGGGCUCAUGACGGUACCGUAAGAAUAAGCACCGGCUAACUACGUGCCAGCCGCCGCCGUAAAAC